CGAGGACGAACGCUGGCGGCAUGCCUAACACAUGCAAGUCGAACGGAGCCAUGGGAACAACCCGUUCGGGGGCGUUCCGGAAGCUUAGUGGCGGACGGGUGAGUAACGCGUGAGUAACCUGCCUCUGAGAGUGGGAUAACGUUCCGAAAGGAACGCUAAUACCGCAUAAUGUGAGAAUAUCGCAUGAUAUUUUCACCAAAGAUUUAUCGCUCAGAGAUGGACUCGCGUCUGAUUAGCUAGUUGGUAAGGUAACGGCUUACCAAGGCGACGAUCAGUAGCCGAACUGAGAGGUUGAUCGGCCACAUUGGGACUGAGACACGGCCCAGACUCCUACGGGAGGCAGCAGUGGGGGAUAUUGCGCAAUGGGGGAAACCCUGACGCAGCAAUGCCGCGUGAAGGAAGAAGGUCUUCGGAUCGUAAACUUUUGUCUUCAGGGACGAUAAUGACGGUACCUGAGGAGGAAGCCACGGCUAACUACGUGCCAGCCGCAGC
rnacentral:rRNA from 1 species